UUAGAGGCAAACGGGUGGACCCGCAAUACGUCGACCCGGGGGAUUCAACCAGGCCGUGCGUUCGGGACGCGUGGGGGUUAUGCGGAGCUGUAAAGCCCGUGCCUUUGCGCAGGUCUCCGGGCGGACUGGUGCACUUUCCUCGGGUUGAUUGCCACGACCGGCUCUCCGUGCGGCCACAAGCCUUUGCUGGGAAGGUGACCGUCGGCCUCCGCGCCGGCGGUGUUAUAGACCAGCUUGUUCGUUGAGCUCGUCGGAGGGCCGAGGAAGUGUUGCCGUUUCUCGUCCACCCUCCGGCCAUCCUUGCUCGUCACGACUGGGGUGAACUGCUCCGUCAGUGCUCUCCCGACCGCGAGCGUAGGAAGGGCUGGUACGGUGCGAGAAAGCUUCGGGCCAGUGGCGAAUCGGUCGGUCCUCCACCCGACCCGUCUUGA
rnacentral:rRNA from 1 species